CUGGUUUCUCUGGUAACAAGCAGAAUACAUUCUAGUACCACGAACACUGAUCGGUAGGAGUGACGGCUCUAAACUGGCAUCAGCUUGACUUUUCCAUUCUCAGUCCAUUGUGAUGUUAUUCCAGGAUGCAGCAGACAGCAUACCUCCAUCUCUUGGUUGAUCUUCCUGAAUGGCUGGAGUGCAAAUCUUCUCCACAGUCAGCUGGAGGCAUUUACCAGAGGGGUGAAAGAUAGAAACCAGCUCAUAGGAAAAUAUUCGACAGUGCCCUGUACAUAAUGCAUUGUUUUGGUUUUGUCUCAAGGAACAGAAGAACAGGCUCGCCUUAAACUCAAGGCAAUCUUCAUUUCUCAGCCUCUGGAAUGUUGGAGUUACAGACAAGAGCCACCACACCCAGCUAACCGGGGCACCGCUACAGAUGCUGUUAGAGUAAUUGACUUUCCCCAGACUGUUUAUUUGACGAGGACACUACACACAGUCAAGAACUGUUUCGACCUGCAUGAGCAAUCCUUCAAGAUUUGCCUACGAAGCCAAGACAAAGACUGAAGAAGGCCUGUGUGGGACUUCACACCCUAGUGACACGUUCCUGGUCAACUGAAGUCCUCGAACAGCUGAUAGUUAUAAUAUGUAGUCUUCCGUGUGUGGCCUUUCGGGAGCUGGUCUUUUCUUAGUGUGGUGUUCAAAAUUAGGCCAGAUAGCUGCUCUUGUGUUGCUGUGGGUACAUUAAUCCAGUGUCUCUGGGAUAAGAAAAACAGCAUGGGGAGAGCUACAAGGACUUGAAGCAGGGCCAGGGCCGAGAUUUUGUUCUCUAUCGCCAUUGCAGGAGCCUCGAGGGAGCGCGGAUCCGAAUGGUGGCCGGUUGGUGGACCGAAGUUCUCAGAGCAGUUUUGACCCCCAGGUUCUAGCUCUGGUCCGGUUUUGUCUCUUUACAUUUAGGCUGUAGGCAGAGGAAAUCCUCGCCAGCGGGCCAGAAUUCCAGCCCACUUAAUAGUUGUUUAAGGCCAUAAACUAUUGUUUCUUUAGGAAUCUCACCAGAAACCCAGUUUACAGGUAAAGGACAUGUACUAAACCCUUUGUGCAACCUUUGUGGCGCCUGGUUUUACUUUAUCUCAUUGUAAUUCCAACCUACAAACCACCUUAUACAUUCACUUAACAAUGAGAGGAGUGGAGUGGUUCUUAGCAACCUUUUGCGAUGUAACUUAACCACUAAAGAGGUAUCUAGCUAACAUGGCAGCUCUCGAGGAGUCCGUAUUGACACGCUGGUAUGUAUUGUUUUUGUUUUCCUAAGCGUCUUCUAUGCCUAGAGUUACCUAUGUUAAAGAUAUCUUUAGUAAAAUCUCCAGCUCUUCAGUGUGGUUAGUCCUGAGAUUCUUUUUAAUCCUUUAAGCCAGGAAUUCUGGUUUGGCCUGAGUCAAAGCCCCUAAAAAAUUAGGAGAACUCAGCCUGCUGAAGCUAACAGUGUAGGGCUAUUUCCUUCCCUUACUGCUCAUGCUCUGUUGCCUGGGCCUCUGUGAAAGGAUAGGGUCUGGAGUAAUCUUGACUCCUUGUUCCUGAGGAUUUUUUGAGUGGCUGCUCUUUUCAAACCACCUAAGGAUUCACAGGCCCUCGUCAGUCUGAGCUGCCAGUUCAGUUUCAGUCAAAGUUAAGUUUUUGUAAACUGGUCCCACUUUCGGCACUCUGGAGUCCCGUGAAAAAAAUGAAAGGUGUUCAGAGUUCCUCUCUCCUUCCCCCAGAGUGUGUGACUUUUAGGUGGGAGGGAGUGUCUGGGAUAAAGGAGUACUGGCUGUACCUAGUCUUAGACCCAGGCAUGUGGUGUGAAAGUUGUGUUUAUCUUUAAAACACUCUCAAGCCAUAUGUCAGCCACCGUUCCAGGCUAGGAGAGGACAGAUUGAUAAACAGCAUUUGUGGUCUCCAAAAAUAUAUGGCUCCAGUACAUUAAGAGUAGACUGAAGUAGGAUGAGGUGACAUAAGGCUUUGGAAGUGGAGGUAGGAGGAUUAUUAGUUCAAGGCUGUCCUCAGCUAUAUAGUUCCUGGCCAGCCUGGGCUACAUGAGAUCUCAAGGGGGAAAAAAAAGAAUGGAGUCGGGUAUAGGCUUAUAGUUCUAGUUGUAGGGAGGCUGAGGUAGGAGGAUCUCAGUUUCAAGGCAUAAUGAGUCCAGGCAAUUCUGAGGUUUAUAGUGAGAUCCUGUCUCAAAAAGAGAGAACAGAGUUGUAGGAAUGAAGUCAGAGCUCAUUGUCAGAGGCCAGGCCAAUCCUUCAGAAGACCAAGUUCAAUCUCCAGCACUGACAAAAAGCAAAUGGGCACUAGUCCCGCAAUUACCCGAUUUCUGAUGUCCUAGCUCUGUUAGCAUUGCCGGGUUCUUUUUUUUUUUUUCUUUUUUCUUUUUUUUUUUUCCGGAGCUGGGGACUGAACCCAGGGCCUUGCGCUUGCUAGGCAAGCGCUCUACCACUGAGCUAAAUCCCAAACCCCACAUUGCCGGGUUCUUAAAGCACACUCAGUCUGUUAUCUGAAAAGUAGGGAAAACAAUACCUUAUGCAGCUGAGAGUCAAAACAACAUAAAUGUCUACAGAGGUCCUGAAGCAUAGAAAGUGCUCAAGAAAUAUAAAUUAGUAUUAAUUAUAGUCGUGGAGGGGAUGAGCAGGGAACUGUAAAUAGCGUCUUAAUAGAAGCAUGAGCAGUGGGGGUGGGGAGAAAUGUAUGGUGGAAGGAUUCAGACGUGUGGUUUGAUUUGAGUUGGGUCUUUAAACACAAGUUUAUCAGGAGAAGGGGAGAGGCAUUACAAGCACAGAAAGCCUAAUGAGUGUCCAGGAACCUGAAUGUGGGGAACUAUUCGGAAACAUUCUUGCUUGGGGAAUUGGGACACCUUUCGUAGUUCAUGUGCUGCCUGAAAUAAACCCACAAAUGUGCUUGGCUCUGUAAAAAAAAAAAAAAAGAAAGAAAAACAGCAUGGGGGCCCUGCGAGAAUGUAACAUGAUAUUCUGUUUUAAGAAACACUUAGUCUGUUUUAUUGUUUUGAAGUUAUAUACAAUUAUAUUUCCCCACUCUCUUUUCUCUCUCCCAACCCUCCUUCCAGAUGCAUGGUCUCUUUUUUUUCUUCACUGUUACUGCAUAAAUAUAUAUAUAUAUAUAUAUAUAUAUAUAUAUAUAUAUAUCACACACACACACACACACGUCUUCAGGGCUGACCUUUGUUGGCACUGAACACACAAUCAGUGUGCCACUUCUCCCCUUUCCAGUUUUCCUUAGCUGCCUAUAGCUCUUGGAAUAUGGUUGCAGCCUCUGAAACUUUCUCCAUACAAUUCUUAUAUAAAUGCACAAAUAAUAAGAUGAAUUUUGAGGAUGGUGGCCACUCUCACAUGGGUCAGUGGCAAAGCAUCAUCAGUCUCUGCAAGCCAGUAGCUCUUUUUGCUGUGCACGCUGAUAGAGAACACUGGCCUACAGAAGACAAGGCAUAUUAUGGAAACACUGGGGGGAAAGCGACAUAAGUAUGUGGUCCUCAAACAAUCCUAGGAAGCAUGCACUAACCCUGCUGGGCCUUCAGGGUGGGAACUCAGCUUCAAGGAUAAUGAAGAGUGCCAGGAGCCAGCUCAGGGUAUGGCUAUCUCAAGAUCUCAAGUCAUCUUGGAAACAAAACCGGGAAAGUCUGUUCCACACACACAUUGACUUGGAUCCCAGGCCCUUCUUAUAUCUCAGCCAUAGCAACAGACGUCAACACGGUCCAUAGCAAUGGAGGGACACCACAUCGACAUUGUUAAUAAUCAUAUGCCAAAGAGGCUGGUUCCAAUUGAAAUUAUUUAAGGACGUUACCAGAGGAAGGAGGUUUUUUAGAUUGCAUUACUGGAUCACUGAGCAAAGAUAACUUCUGGGAACUCCAAUAACCUUCCUCAAAUUUGCCUUCCUCGACAAUGCAAUUAAGCAAUGGGCAAAGUACUGUCAAUUUAUAUAGUAUUGUUAUGUACUGAGACAGACAUAUAGUGAUAUCUAAUGUAUAAAAUGCAACAUGCAUCCUUUCUGGAGAGAAAUAUGAUAGGUAUCGAUUAUGAAACUCUUCUCGAAAUAAGGUGGUGGCACAUGCCUUUAAUCCAAGCACCUAGGAGGCAGAGGCAGGAGGAUCUUAAAGUUUGAGAAUAGCCAGGGGGCUACACAGAGAAAUCCUAUCUCAAAAAGGCAAAACCAAACAAACAACCUGAAAACCUAAGCCUCAAACAAACAAACAAAAAACAAAACAAA